UUUGAGCUGGUGGAGGUAAAAGUGAUAUCUAUAUUUUAUGAGUUUGGAGGGGCCGGCGCCCAUUAUAACUUCACAGCUAAGCAGCCUGAGGAGCAACAUUCUGCUGAUGCCGACAGUACCAAGCUAUUCUUCUCUGAAGUCCACCUGAAUUUUCGGAGUGAGAAUGACGUGAUUAUUUGCUGUAUAGUUGGGGAAAAUGACGCAGGGCGUUGCUAUGGCUGUGAAAACUACCAGCCUGUUGUUCACCCAAGCAGCCAAGCAUAUGGCGGUGGUAGUAGUACUUGUAUUGACUAUCCUGGUUCGGACGGCGAUAGCGACAGCGACUAG
rnacentral:rRNA from 1 species